rnacentral:lncRNA from 1 species
UCUGAAACUGGAGUUGGAGCAGGCCAAGGAGCAGAUCGAAGAUCUGUCGCUGGAGAGGAGCGAGGAGCAGGAGAUGAUCAGGGCCGCCGUCCGAUCCGCGAGGGGGGAGCUCCAAGGCGAGCGGAGGAUGAGGCGGCGUUCGGAGAGCCUGCAUCGGAAGGUAGCCAGAGAAUUAUCGGGAGUGAAGGCGUCGUUCUUGAGGGCCCUGGAAGACCUAGAGAGAGAACGGAAGGCCCGGGACCUGUUGGAAAGCCUCUGCGACGAGUUCGCAGAGGGCGUCAGACGAUACGAAGAGGAGGUGAGAGAAUGGAGGCAGAAAUCCGGCGGAGGGUGCGGCCAUGGGCGGGACCGGCCGGUGCUUCACAUCGCUGAAGAAUGGCUGGGCGAGCGG